rnacentral:rRNA from 1 species
GACGAACGCUGGCGGCGUGCUUAACACAUGCAAGUCGAACGCUGAAGCUUGGUGCUUGCAUUGGGUGGAUGAGUGGCGAACGGGUGAGUAAUAAGUGAGUAACCUGCCCUUGACUCUGGGAUAAGCCUGGGAAACUGGGUCUAAUACUGGAUACGACAUGUCACCGCAUGGUGGUGUGUGGAAAGGGUUUUACUGGUUUUGGAUGGGCUCACGGCCUAUCAGCUUGUUGGUGGGGUAAUGGCUCACCAAGGCGACGACGGGUAGCCGGCCUGAGAGGGUGACCGGCCACACUGGGACUGAGACACGGCCCAGACUCCUACGGGAGGCAGCAGUGGGGAAUAUUGCACAAUGGGCGGAAGCCUGAUGCAGCGACGCCGCGUGAGGGAUGACGGCCUUCGGGUUGUAAACCUCUUUCAGCACGGAAGAAGCGAAAGUGACGGUACGUGCAGAAGAAGCGCCGGCUAACUACGUG